AUCCGAUAAUGGCAAACCUGGGGAAAUCCAGGGACGCAAAGCUAUAGGGGCUAACAUCUUUUCAUGAUUAUGCCAGCCAGCUACCGAA
rnacentral:ncRNA from 1 species